UACGUAGGGCGCAAGCGUUAUCCGGAGUUACUGGGCGUAAAGCGCACGCAGGCGGUCUGCUAAGUUUGGAGUGACAGUUGGUGGCUUAACUGCCAAAGUGCUUCGAAAACUGACAGACUUGAGGGCUUCAGAGGGACACGGAAUUCCGGGUGGAGUGGUGAAAUGCGUAGAGAUCCGGAGGAACACCAAAGGCGAAGGCAGUGUCCUGGGGAGUACCUGACGCUCAGGUGCGAAAGCCAGGGGAGCGAACGGG
rnacentral:rRNA from 1 species